AUGCAUGCCGUGGUGGACACCCACAGAAGGUUCACGGAGCUCUUGGUGGUGUACACCAACAACCUGGUCUGGGUGGAGCACUGCAUCCACAUCAUGGAGCUGUUGCUUGCUGAGGAGAAGUACAAGGUGGUCGGGUUCGACCUCAAGUACACCCGCGCUCGUGCGGGGUCUCGUCCCAAGGUCGCCAUCGCCCAGAUGUGCGUGCGCGAUCACGUCCUCAUCUACCACUACUGCAUGGCCACAAGGCCUUGCGAGCGUUUUGCCAGGUUUGUCAACAACCGCCACUACAUGUUCGCUACGGUGGACAUCACCAACAAUGUAAAGGUGCUCAAGAAUUCAGGCAUCGCCUGCCAGAAUCUUGUAGACAUCCAGGGACAAUACAAGAUAUGGGGUAGCAACGAGCAUGAGAAGGACUCACUAGUUCACCUCACCGAGGCCAUCAUCGAUCCCUAG
rnacentral:rRNA from 1 species